CUAGACGUUGAGCCUCGGGAGGGGAAGAGCGCGGUGGGAGCCGGAGGGGGACCGCCGCCGAGCCCGGGCUGGGAGGAGCGCGAGGCGAGCAUAACGAAAAGGCAGUUUGGCAGACACUUGACUCUUUACCAGCUGUAUUUGGCAUGAGUGAUCGAGGGGUAUGGUUGGCAUGGAAUUGAAUUUCAUCUGUCUGUGGGAGUUGUAAACAAGGUUGCCAUCACGAAAGC